rnacentral:tRNA from 1 species
UGCCCCGUCGUCCAAUGGCAGGACUCCGGUCUUUGGAUCCGGCUAUGGUGGUUCGAGUCCACCCGGGGCAA